AGGGAAUCUUCCACAAUGGACGCAAGUCUGAUGGAGCAACGCCGCGUGAGUGAAGAAGGUUUUCGGACCGUAAAGCUCUGUUGUUGGUGAAGAAGGAUAGAGGUAGUAACUGGCCUUUAUUUGACGGUAAUCAACCAGAAAGUCACGGCUAACUACGUGCCAGCAGCCGCGGUAAUACGUAGGUGGCAAGCGUUGUCCGGAUUUAUUGGGCGUAAAGCGAGCGCAGGCGGAAGAAUAAGUCUGAUGUGAAAGCCCUCGGCUUAACCGAGGAAUUGCAUCGGAAACUGUUUUCUUGAGUGCAGAAGAGGAGAG
rnacentral:rRNA from 1 species